CGCACAUUGCGCCUUUUGGUAUUCCGAAAGGCACGUCCGUUUGAGCGUCAUUAAAACCUUCAUGGAGCGAUUCAUGGUAUUGGGGGCGGUUCGCCGCCCCCUAAAGAUGACACCGGCAAAGGGAGACUAAUAGAUUUUUAUUGUCGACCGCGGCCGCAAGACCAGGGGCUCCGGCCCCCGUACUCUUGACCUCAAAUCGGAUGAGGAUACCCGCUGAACUUAA
rnacentral:misc_RNA from 1 species